rnacentral:rRNA from 1 species
UACGGAGGGUGCGAGCGUUGUCCGGAAUCACUGGGCGUAAAGGGCGCGUAGGCGGCCUGAUAAGUAGGGGGUGAAAUCUUGCGGCUUAACCGCAAGGCUGCCUUCUAAACUGUCAGGCUGGAGCACAGUAGAGGCAGGUGGAAUUCCCGGUGUAGCGGUGGAAUGCGUAGAGAUCGGGAAGAACAUCAGUGGCGAAGGCGGCCUGCUGGGCUGUUGCUGACGCUGAGGCGCGACAGCGUGGGGAGCAAACAGG